rnacentral:rRNA from 1 species
AUCAACGCUGGCGGCGUGCCUAACACAUGCAAGUCGAACGAGAAAGCGGGGGCAACCCCGUGAGUACGGUGGCGACCGGGUGAGUAACACGUGACUAACCUACCCUGAAGUGGGGAAUAACUCCGGGAAACCGGAGCUAAUACCGCAUAACACCGCAAGGUCAAAGUAGCAAUGCGCUUUGGGAGGGGGUCGCGGCUGAUUAGUUAGUUGGCGGGGUAACGGCCCACCAAGACGAUGAUCAGUAUCCGGCCUGAGAGGGCGCACGGACACACUGGAACUGAAACACGGUCCAGACUCCUACGGGAGGCAGCAGUGGGGAAUUUUGCACAACGGGGGAAACCCUGAUGCAGCAACGCCGCGUGGAGGAUGAAGGCCCUUGGGUUAUAAACUCCUUUCGAUCGGGACGAUGAUGACGGUACCGGAAGAAGAAGCACCGGCUAACUCUGUGCCAGCAGCCGCGGUAAUACAGAGGGUGCAAGCGUUGUUCGGAAUUAUUGGGCGUAAAGGGCGCGUAGGCGGCGCAGUAAGUGUGUGGUGAAAUUCACGGGCUCAACUCGUGAUCUGCCGCGCAGACUGCUGUGCUGGAGUGUGGGAGAGGGAUGCGGGAAUUCCAGGUGUAGCGGUGAAAUGCGUAGAUAUCGGGAGGAACACCUGUGGCGAAAGCGGCGCAUCUGGACCAAAUCUGACGCUGAGGAGCGAAAGCCUAGGGGAGCAAACAGGAUUAGAUACCCUGGUAGUCCUAGGCCCUAAACGAUGAUGCUUGGUGUGCUGGGUAUCCAAUCCCAUCGUGCCGCAAGCUAACGCGAUUAAGCAAUUCCGCCUGGGGAGUACGGUCGCAAGGACUGAAACUCAAAGGAAUUGACGGGGGCCCGCACAAGCGGUGGAGCAUGUGGUUCAAUUCGACGCAACGCGAAGAACCUUACCUGGGCUCGAACAUGCGAGGGACACGGGUGACGAACAUGUCCCUUCCGCAAGGACACGCUGCAUAGGUGCUGCAUGGCUUGUCGUCAGCUCGUGUCGUGAGAUGUUGGGUUAAGUCCCGCAACGAGCGCAACCCUUGUCUGCAUGUUGCCAAGCAGUUAAUGCAUGGUCACUCUGGCAGAGACUGCCGGUGAUAAACCGGAGGAAGGUGGGGAUGACGUCAAGUCAUCAUGGCCUUUAUGUCCAUGGGCUACACACGUGCUACAAUGGCCGGUACAAACCGUCGCAAAACCGUAAGGUGGAGCUAAUCGGAGAAAGCCGGUCUCAGUUCGGAUAGCAGGCUGCAACUCGCCUGCUUGAAGUUGGAAUCGCUAGUAAUCGCGGAUCAGCACGCCGCGGUGAAUACGUUCCCGGGCCUUGUACGCACCGCCCGUCACAUCACGAAAGCCGGUUGUACUAGAAGUCGCUACAUCAACCCGCAAGGGGGAGAGGCGCCUAAGGUAUGGUCGGUGAUUGGGGUG